UACGUAGGGUGCGAGCGUUGUCCGGAAUUACUGGGCGUAAAGAGCUCGUAGGUGGUUUGUCGCGUUGUUCGUGAAAAACUCACAGCUCAACUGUGGGCGUGCGGGCGAUACGGGCAGACUAGAGGUAUGCAGGGGAGAACGGAAUUCCUGGUGUAGCGGUGAAAUGCGCAGAUAUCAGGAGGAACACCGGUGGCGAAGGCGGUUCUCUGGGCAUGAUCUGACGCUGAGGAGCGAAAGUGUGGGGAGCGAACAGG
rnacentral:rRNA from 1 species